GCGAGUGAAGCGGGAUGAGCUCAAAUUUAAAAUCUGGCGGUCUCAGAUCGUCCGAGUUGUAGUCUAGAGAAGCGUUUUCCGUGCUGGCCUGUGUACAAGUCCGUUGGAACACGGCGUCAUAGAGGGUGAGAAUCCCGUCCUUGACACAGAUCUCCAGUGCUUUGUGAUGCGCUCUCAAAGAGUCGAGUUGUUUGGGAAUGCAGCUCAAAAUGGGUGGUAAAUUCCAUCUAAAGCUAAAUAUUGGCGAGAAACCGAUAGCGAACAAGUACCGUGAGGGAAAGAUGAAAAGCACUUUGGAAAGAGAGUUAAACAGUACGUGAAAUUGUUGAAAGGGAAACGAUUGAAGUCAGUCAUGCUUUCCGAGACUCAGCCGGUUCUGCCGGUGUACUUCUCGGUUUGCAGGCCAGCAUCAGUUUUGGGCGGUGGAAAAGGUUGGCGGGAAUGUGGCAUCCUCGGAUGUGUUAUAGCCCGCUUUCGAAUACAUCGCCCGGGACUGAGGAACGCAGCACGCCUCUUGUAGGUCGGUCUUCGGACACGUCCGUGCUUAGGAUGCUGGCAUAAUGGCUUUAAACGACCCGUCUUGA
rnacentral:rRNA from 1 species